rnacentral:rRNA from 1 species
UACACAUGCAAGUCGAACGAUGAACCACUUCGGUGGGGAUUAGUGGCGAACGGGUGAGUAACACGUGGGCAAUCUGCCCUGCACUCUGGGACAAGCCCUGGAAACGGGGUCUAAUACCGGAUACUGACCCUCGCAGGCAUCUGCGAGGUUCGAAAGCUCCGGCGGUGCAGGAUGAGCCCGCGGCCUAUCAGCUUGUUGGUGAGGUAAUGGCUCACCAAGGCGACGACGGGUAGCCGGCCUGAGAGGGCGACCGGCCACACUGGGACUGAGACACGGCCCAGACUCCUACGGGAGGCAGCAGUGGGGAAUAUUGCACAAUGGGCGAAAGCCUGAUGCAGCGACGCCGCGUGAGGGAUGACGGCCUUCGGGUUGUAAACCUCUUUCAGCAGGGAAGAAGCGAAAGUGACGGUACCUGCAGAAGAAGCGCCGGCUAACUACGUGCCAGCAGCCGCGGUAAUACGUAGGGCGCGAGCGUUGUCCGGAAUUAUUGGGCGUAAAGAGCUCGUAGGCGGCUUGUCACGUCGGUUGUGAAAGCCCGGGGCUUAACCCCGGGUCUGCAGUCGAUACGGGCAGGCUAGAGUUCGGUAGGGGAGAUCGGAAUUCCUGGUGUAGCGU